rnacentral:rRNA from 1 species
UCCAGACUCCUACGGGAGGCAGCAGUGGGGGAUAUUGCACAAUGGGGGGAACCCUGAUGCAGCGACGCCGCGUGGGUGAAGGAGCGUUUCGGCGCGUAAAGCCCUAUCGGCAGGGAAGAAGGAGGACGGUACCUGACUAAGAAGCCCCGGCUAACUACGUGCCAGCAGCCGCGGUAAUACGUAGGGGGCAAGCGUUAUCCGGAUUUACUGGGUGUAAAGGGGGCGCAGACGGCAGCGCAAGCCAGGAGUGAAAGCCCGGGGCCCAACCCCGGGACUGCUCUUGGAACUGCGCGGCUGGAGUGCAGGAGGGGCAGGCGGAAUUCCUGGUGUAGCGGUGAAAUGCGUAGAUAUCAGGAGGAACACCGGUGGCGAAGGCGGCCUGCUGGACUGCGACUGACGUUGAGGCCCGAAAGCGUGGGGAGCAAACAGGAUUAGAUGCCCUCGUACG